rnacentral:rRNA from 3 species
GCAUAUCAAUAAGCGGAGGAAAAGAAACUAACAAGGAUUCCCCUAGUAACUGCGAGUGAAGCGGGAAAAGCUCAAAUUUAAAAUCUGGCGGCUUUGGUCGUCCGAGUUGUAUCCUAGAGAAGUGUUUUCCGCGUUGGACCGUGUAUAAGUCUCUUGGAACAGAGCGUCAUAGAGGGUGAGAAUCCCGUCUUUGACACGGACUACCAAUGCUUUGUGAUACACUCUCAAAGAGUCGAGUUGUUUGGGAAUGCAGCUCAAAAUGGGUGGUAAAUUCCAUCUAAAGCUAAAUAUUGGCGAGAGACCGAUAGCGAACAAGUACCGUGAGGGAAAGAUGAAAAGCACUUUGGAAAGAGAGUUAAACAGUACGUGAAAUUGCUGAAAGGGAAACGAUUGAAGUCAGUCGCGUUAGCUAGAACUCAACCAGGCUUGCUUGGCGUAUUUUCUAGUUAACGGGCCAGCAUCAGUUUUGACCGCAGGAAAAAGGCCAGGGAAAUGUGGCACCUUCGGGUGUGUUAUAGUCUUUGGUCAUAUACUGCGAUUGGGACUGAGGUUCGCAGCACGCGCAAGCUGUGCUUAGGAUGCUGGCGUAAUGGCUUUAAACGACCCGUCUUGAAACACGGACC